UUCACAUUUCUUAACCUUAGGAACAGUAUGAAUUAGUCUAUAGUGUCAUCAGGUUACUGUUUGAGAGAUACUUGCAAUCCAUGGAUGAACAGAGCAGCAAAAAUCAGCUGACCAGGGGAGCAUCUAUGAGGGAGCAAGAUCUUGGAAAUCAGAAGCUCCAAUGCCAACGCAUCUGUGAUGAGGAAAUGAACAACACACCACAGAAACAGAAACUGGGUCCUUCUGUUCCAGAAGGUCAUCUUAAAGAUAGAAACAAUCCGCCGGAUCAACCACAACUCCUUCACGGAGCCCUAACGUCCCGCCAAGAGGAAAUUUUACAGAAUGGGGUUCACACUGGCCAAGAAGUGGCUGCAGUGGAGAACAUAUGGCAGGGUGACGACAUUCCAUCACC